UACGUAGGGUGCGAGCGUUAAUCGGAAUUACUGGGCGUAAAGGGCUCGUAGGCGGCCAACUAAGUCAGACGUGAAAUCCCUCGGCUUAACCGGGGAACUGCAUCUGAUACUGGAUGGCUUGAAUCCGGGAGAGGGAUGCAGAAUUCCAGGUGUAGCGGUGAAAUGCGUAGAUAUCUGGAGGAAUACCGGUGGCGAAGGCGGCAUCCUGGACCGGCAUUGACGCUGAGGAGCGAAAGCCAGGGGAGCAAACGGG
rnacentral:rRNA from 1 species